GGAAACAAUAUUCGAUGUACAGACAACUUAUACAAACCCAAACCUCAAGUUCUUUACCGUAGCGCAGAACUUGAAGAACUUGUACACAGGAUCGGACCUUUGUUCAGACGGGGAUAACAGUACAGCGCGUCUGCAUAUUUAUCUGAACAGCUUAGACCACGAGGUUGUUGAAGAACUGGCAUCGUACACGUGGGAGACUCUGCUCUGCAACGUCGGCGGGAAUUUCGGCUUGUUCAUCGGCCUCUCCAUCGUGUCCGUGGCUGAACUGUUCGAGGUCCUCUUCGAUCUCCUUGUGGCUCAUAUAAAACGGCGUGGGACCUGAGAGGCAUUUAAGCGGGGGUGGGUAAAGAUGGAGCAAGGUUGAGGGGAGCAUGUUAGAGAUGAUGUGGAUUAGGGUUGAUGUGGAUUAGGGCUGAUGUGGACUAGGGAUGAUGUGGAUUAGGGUUGAUGUGGAUUAGGGAUGAUGUGGAUUAGGGAUGAUGUGGAUUAGGGUUGAUGUGAAUUAGGGAUGAUGUGGAUUAGGGAUGAUGUGGAUUAGGGUUGAUGUGGAUUAGGGAUGAUGUGGAUUAGGGUUGAUGUGGAUUAGGGUUGAUGUGGAUUAGGGAUGAUGUGGAUUAGGGAUGAUGUGGAUUAGGGAUGAUGUGUAUUACGGAUGAUGUGGAUUAGGGCCGAAUGGAUUACGGAUGAUGUGGAUUAGGGAUGAUGUGGAUUAGGGAUGAUGUGGAUUAGGGAUGAUGUGGAUUAGGGAUGAUGUGGAUUAGGGCCGAAUGGAUUAGGGUUGAAGCUGCUUGAAUGACUUGGUUGAAAAAUAAUUGUUUUACUUGAAGACUGAUGUACUGGUAUAUGUUAAGCAUUUGGUUGACAGAUAACUGAUGUAUUAGUGUAAGUUGCCGUGAUAGUAAAAAAAAAAAAAAAAAAAAAAAAAAAGGGUUACUGCAGAUUGCUUUGUUUGGUGUGUUUUUAGUCGUGGUAUGUCAGGACAGAAAAGAAUAAUUUACUGAAAAAUAUAGUGGUUUGAUGUGCGAUAAGUGAAGUCUGAGAAGAAUUACUCUACUGAAAGCUAGUAUACUGAAACAAGGUUGCUUUGGUAUGUUUAGUCAUGGAUGGAAUUAUCUACUGAAGACUGAUUUAUUGAAAGCGAGUGACUUGGCAUCAUAAUAGGAAAACAAACUAUAUUCCUGCAGACAGAAUUAUAGUAAUAUAGUAUUUUUUCUGUAGUUUUCAUCCAGACCGUAGAUUUUUCUGCCAUACUCCUUGCCUCUUGAAUUCCUGCUGAAUCACCGAUCUCAUUUUUCGUCAAAGAACCCCAUGAUUCGAAGCUCCGAAGCCCCCGACGGUUCUCCUGUAGGAUUCGGAACACCCGAACGAAUCUUAGUCGAACGAGAGGCUCGACCCAAUGAAUAUUUAUAUAUAUGAAUAUGUUUAUAUAUCCAUAUAUCUGAUAGAUGUGCAUUUAACUAUCUACAUAUCCGAUAGAUAGCAUAUCUAGGGUAGUAGAUAAACGUUUAGUUAUGUAACUGGUAGUAGUAACUAUGAUGACACUGUCAUUUUAAAACAAUAAUUGUAAUAAUGAUAAUGGUUAAUGAUAAUGGUUAUCUGCACUACCUGUACGUCUGUUAGUUUUUUCCAAUUGUCUUUAAUGUUACAUUUUAUCACCGUUUUAUGAUUAACUUUAUUCUUGAUGUGUUUUGCAAAGAUAAAUAUAAUCGUCCAUA